AACGGGGGGUGCGGGCGUUACUCAACAUGACUGGGCGUAAAGGGCCGCUAGGCUGCCGGUCCAGCAAGGGGUGAAAUUCGGCUUUGGGCUGGACUGUCCCUUGGACGGACCGGCUGGGGUCCGGUAGGGGGUGGCGGUAUCUCCGGUGUAGAGGUAAAAUUCGGCGAUAUCGGAGGGACCAACGCCAGGCGAAGGCAGCCACCUGGUCCGGCACCGACGCUGACCGGCAAAAGCGUGGGGAGCAAACGGG
rnacentral:rRNA from 1 species